GAAAUGCGAUAAGUAAUGUGAAUUGCAGAAUUCAGUGAAUCAUCGAAUCUUUGAACGCACAUUGCGCCCGCCGGUAUUCCGGCGGGCAUGCCUGUCCGAGCGUCAUCUCACCACUCAAGCCCGGCUUGGUGUUGGCCGACGCGGGUACUGCGGGUUAGCAUCACCUACCAGGUGAGGCGAGCCUCCCCGCGCGGCUCAAAUAUAGCGGCGGAAACGGUGUCGAGUUUCCCUUACGCGGUAGCAUAAUCUCGUAUCGGAUGACCUUCCCGGCUCUGCCACAACCCACGGGGGCCUCGUGCCCCCUCUAGGUUUGACCUCGGAUCAGGUAGGAAUACCCGCUGAACUUAA
rnacentral:misc_RNA from 1 species